AAUAGAUACCCUGGUAGUCCACGCCGUAAACGAUGAGUGCUAAGUGUUAGGGGGUUUCCGCCCCUUAGUGCUGCAGCUAACGCAUUAAGCACUCCGCCUGGGGAGUACGGCCGCAAGGCUGAAACUCAAAGGAAUUGACGGGGGCCCGCACAAGCGGUGGAGCAUGUGGUUUAAUUCGAAGCAACGCGAAGAACCUUACCAGGUCUUGACAUCCUCUGACAACUCUAGAGAUAGAGCGUUCCCCUUCGGGGGACAGAGUGACAGGUGGUGCAUGGUUGUCGUCAGCUCGUGUCGUGAGAUGUUGGGUUAAGUCCCGCAACGAGCGCAACCCUUGAUCUUAGUUGCCAGCAUUCAGUUGGGCACUCUAAGGUGACUGCCGGUGACAAACCGGAGGAAGGUGGGGAUGACGUCAAAUCAUCAUGCCCCUUAUGACCUGGGCUACACACGUGCUACAAUGGACGGUACAAAGAGUCGCAAGACCGCGAGGUGGAGCUAAUCUCAUAAAACCGUUCUCAGUUCGGAUUGCAGG
rnacentral:rRNA from 1 species